ensembl:lncRNA novel transcript
GCGGCUGCGCCGCUUACCCGCACACAGACGGUUGGCAGAGGAAGAAAGCCUUGUCACACUAAAGGAGAGACAGCGGAUGUUCUGAACAGUCCUGUCGUGAAACGUUAGACAACGUGGACGAAACAGGCACAUUCCUAAGCAUCACACAUUACUGAAACUCAGUCAAGAAGAAAUAGAAAAUCUGAAUACAUCCAUGGCAAGCACAGAAACUGAACUAGGGGAUUCGAAAUCUUCCCACAAAGAAAAGCCUAGGCCCAACUGGCCUCUAUGAUACAGCAAGAAGGUGCCAUCUAUGAAGGAGAAGACAAGCCCUCACCAGACACCAAAUCUGCUGAUGCUUUGAUCUUGGACUUCCCAGCCUCCAGAACUGUGUCUGUGAACUCAAGAGAAGCCUUUCAUUCUAGACAUAGUAGUUAUUUUCUAAAUCAUCUUUAAACUUAUUUGCUGGAAUAUUGUGGGGGUAAAGUGCAAACUUCCCCUUCACCAUCUGAAGGUUUGCUAAAAAUCAACAGGCAGAAGGCGAAUUAACAGGAGAAAUGGCAUGCCAAUUUGUUUGAUCACAGUUUUACAUGAAGAAUGAAGACCCAAAGACACAUGAGAAAUUGUCCAUUUUUAUGCAACACCAGACCAGGCGAUGCUCUAAGACAGGUACAACAAAGUAUGGACAUGCGUGUAGAAAUACGAGUCAACUAAAGGGUGUGAUCUACUGCUAAUAGGCUGAGUGGGGACACCCAGACUCUUCCUGGCCCCUGUGAGCAGCUUCCUUUCCUUCUGGUGUGGGGCAGGAACUUCUCUGGAAUGGGGAUCUUCUGACCCACAGUCAAACAAGAAUUGGACAGAAGUCACAUCAGGGAGACCAGAGACUAGAGUAUUGCAUCAUAGAGGAAAGACACUGAUGACAAGACCUCAGGGGAGCAGUGGAACUGGAGGCCUGGGAGCUUGGGACGUGUUCUCCGGGUGAAGUUGGCUGGCCAGCUGAUGACCUACACCAGUGCCAUUCACUCCUCAUGUGUCCCCCGGGAAUUCAUAGUGUGUGUCAUCAGGUAAAAGCAACACUACUUUCAGAUGUUUUCUGAUCUCUUUGAGAUCUGGACAACACUACUGUGUACAUAUGGCCAGCAACAAAUUACACUCAAUGAAUAUUUUAGAGAGCAGCAAAGUAAUCAAUUAAAAUGUGGGUAAACAAAAAUCACUGUGAUCACAGCUCUGUCUACAUGGUUCUUUGGUAAAAAAUUAGAAUCCUGGGGAUUAGUCUGAGGAUAAAUAUUAUUUAAAAAGCAUUUUGGUUAAAUAGUAAUUAGUAAAUUUUGCUCUGCCGAAAAAUCAUAUAUAUUGACAAUAAAUUUUGUCAAAUUUAUUAAUAACCAGUCUGAAACUCUAUAAAGAUGAAUCCUCAAAAUAUGGAUAUAAAAGAA